UACGUAGGGUGCAAGCGUUAAUCGGAAUUACUGGGCGUAAAGCGUGCGCAGGCGGUUCUAUAAGACAGAUGUGAAAUCCCCGGGCUCAACCUGGGAACUGCAUUUGUGACUGUAGAGCUGGAGUGCGGCAGAGGGGAUGGAAUUCCGCGUGUAGCAGUGAAUGCGUAGAUAUGCGGAGGAACACCGAUGCGAAGGCAUCCCCUGGCCUGCACUGACGCUCAUGCACGAAAGCGUGGGGAGCAAACAGG
rnacentral:rRNA from 1 species